AACGCUGGCGGCGUGCUUAACACAUGCAAGUCGAACGGAAAGGCUCUGCUUGCAGGGGUACUCGAGUGGCGAACGGGUGAGUAACACGUGGGUGAUCUGCCCUGCACUUCGGGAUAAGCCUGGGAAACUGGGUCUAAUACCGGAUAGGACGAUGGUUUGGAUGCCAUUUGGAAAGUUUUUUCGGUGUGGGAUGAGCUCGCGGCCUAUCAGCUUGUUGGUGGGGUAAUGGCCUACCAAGGCGUCGACGGGUAGCCGGCCUGAGAGGGUGUACGGCCACAUUGGGACUGAGAUACGGCCCAGACUCCU
rnacentral:rRNA from 1 species